UACGUAGGGGGGCAAGCGUUGUCCGGAUUCAUUGGGCGUAAAGCGCGUGUAGGCGGUCCGGUAAGUCCGCUGUGAAAGUCGGGGGCUCAACCCUCGAAAGCCGGUGGAUACUGUCGGGCUCGGGUACGGAAGAGGUGAGUGGAAUUCCUGGUGUAGCGGUGAAAUGCGCAGAUAUCAGGAGGAACACCAAUGGCGAAGGCAGCUCACUGGGACGGUACUGACGCUGAGACGCGAAAGCGUGGGGAGCAAACAGG
rnacentral:rRNA from 1 species